GACGAACGCUGGCGGCGUGCUUAACACAUGCAAGUCGAACGGAAAGGCCCUGCUUUUGUGGGGUGCUCGAGUGGCGAACGGGUGAGUAACACGUGAGUAACCUGCCCUUGACUUUGGGAUAACUUCAGGAAACUGGGGCUAAUACCGGAUAGGAGCUCCUGCUGCAUGGUGGGGGUUGGAAAGUUUCGGCGGUUGGGGAUGGACUCGCGGCUUAUCAGCUUGUUGGUGGGGUAGUGGCUUACCAAGGCUUUGACGGGUAGCCGGCCUGAGAGGGUGACCGGCCACAUUGGGACUGAGAUACGGCCCAGACUACUACGGGAGGCAGCAGUGGGGAAUAUUGCACAAUGGGCGGAAGCCUGAUGCAGCACCGCCGCGUGCGGGAUGACGGCCUUCGGGUUGUAAACCGCUUUCGCCUGUGACGAAGCGUGAGUGACGGUAAUGGGUAAAGAAGCACCGGCUAACUACGUG
rnacentral:rRNA from 1 species